UAUUGUGAUUAUUUUACCUAAGACAGUAGGAGUUAUUUGAUAACUUAAAAACCGAUCCUGCCGAGGCUAAAAUUGACUUGAACGUGACUAUUAAACUUUCAAGCACUUUUUGCCGUGGGUAGAAAGUGCUUUUUUUAUUAA
rnacentral:sRNA from 1 species